rnacentral:rRNA from 1 species
UACGUAGGAUGCAAGCGUUGUCCGGAAUUAUUGGGCGUAAAGAGCGCGCAGGCGGUAACUCAAGUCAGAUGUGAAAUAUCCGGGCUUAACCCGGAGGGGUCAUUUGAAACUGAGUAACUAGAGUACAGCAGAGGAUAGCGGAAUUCCCGGUGUAGUGGUGAAAUGCGUAGAUAUCGGGAGGAACACCAGUGGCGAAGGCGGCUAUCUGGGCUGAAACUGACGCUGAGGCGCGAAGGCUAGGGGAGCAAACAGGG